rnacentral:rRNA from 1 species
UACGUAGGGUGCAAGCGUUGUCCGGAAUUAUUGGGCGUAAAGAGCUCGUAGGCGGUCUGUCGCGUCGGAUGUGAAAACCCAGGGCUCAACCCUGGGCCUGCAUUCGAUACGGGCAGACUAGAGUUCGGUAGGGGGAGACUGGAAUUCCUGGUGUAGCGGUGAAAUGCGCAGAUAUCAGGAGGAACACCGGUGGCGAAGGCGGGUCUCUGGGCCGAAACUGACGCUGAGGAGCGAAAGCGUGGGGAGCAAACAGG